rnacentral:rRNA from 1 species
CCUACGGGAGGCAGCAGUAGGGAAUAUUGCUCAAUGGGGGAAACCCUGAAGCAGCAACGCCGCGUGGAGGAUGAAGGUUUUCGGAUUGUAAACUCCUUUUGUUAGAGAAGAUAAUGACGGUAUCUAACGAAUAAGCACCGGCUAACUCCGUGCCAGCAGCCGCGGUAAUACGGAGGGUGCAAGCGUUACUCGGAAUCACUGGGCGUAAAGCGCGCGUAGGCGGGAUAGCAAGUCAGAUGUGAAAUCCUAUGGCUUAACCAUAGAACUGCAUUUGAAACUGUUAUUCUAGAGUAUGGGAGAGGUAGGGGGAAGUCGUGGGGUAGGGGUAAAAUCCGUAGAGAUCAAGAGGAAUACUCAUUGCGAAGGCGACCUGCUAGAACAUAACUGACGCUGUUGCGCGAAAGCGUGGGGAGCAAACAGGAUUAGAUACCCCUGUAGU